rnacentral:rRNA from 1 species
GCAGCAGCGCGCAAAUUACCCCACUCCCGGCACGGGGAGGUAGUGACGAAAAAUAACGAUACGGGACUCAUCCGAGGCCCCGUAAUCGGAAUGAGAACACUUUAAACUCUUUAACGAGUAUCCAUUGGAGGGCAAGUCUGGUGCCAGCCGCCGCGGUAACUCCAGCUCCAAUAGCGUAUACUAAAGUUGUUGCGGUUAAAAAGCUCGUAGUUGGACCUGUGUCCCACGCUGUCGGUUCACCGUUCGCCGGUGUUCAACUGGCAGGCCAGUGAGGACGUCCUGCCGGUGGAUGCGGUCGGCGCGAGGUCGAGGGCUACCCUUCCCAUGGGGUGUCCCGUCCUCGUCGUCGGCGGUCCGUUUGAAUCCUGCCGCGGUGCUCUUCACCGAGUGUCGAGGUGGGCCGGCACGUUUACUUUGAACAAAUUUGAGUGCUCAGGGAGGGCAGUGUAACGCCCGAAUGUUGUGUGCAUGGAAUAAUGGAAUAGGACCUCGGUUCUAUUUUGUUGGUUUACGGAACCCGAGGUAAUGAUUGACAGGGACAAUCGGGGGCAUUCGUAUUGCGACGUUAGAGGUGAAAUUCUUGGAUCGUUGCAAGACGGACAUAAGCGAAAGCAUUUGCCAAGAGUGUUUUCAUUAAUCAAGAGCGAAAGUUAGAGGAUCGAAGGCGAUCAGAUACCGCCCUAGUUCUAACCAUAAACGAUGCCAGCUAGCGAUCCGCCGAAGUUCCUCCUAUGACUCGGCGGGCAGCUUCCGGGAAACCAAAGCUUUUGGGUUCCGGGGGAAAGUAUGGUUGCAAAGCUGAAACUUAAAGGAAUUGACGGAAGGGCACCACCAGGAGUGGAGCCUACGGCUUAAUUUGACUCAACACGGGAAAACUCACCAGGCCCGGACACCGGAAGGAUUGACAGAUUGAGAGCUCUUUCUUGAUUCGGUGGGUGGGUGGUGCAUGGCCG